CAUAGCGUGAGGAAGGCAGACCCAGGGAACUGAAACAUCUAAGUACCUGGAGGAAGAGAAAGAAAAAUCGAUUUCCUGAGUAGCGGCGAGCGAAACGGAAAGAGCCCAAACCAAGAAGCUUGCUUCUUGGGGUUGUAGGACACUCUAUACGGAGUUACAAAAGAAAGUUAUAAAUGAAGUGGUCUGGAAAGGCCCGCCAAAGACGGUAACAGCCCGGUAGUUGAAAUGGCUUUCCCUCCAGAGUGGAUCCUGAGUACGGCGGAACACGUGAAAUUCCGUCGGAAUCCGGGAGGACCAUCUCCCAAGGCUAAAUACUCCCUAGUGACCGAUAGUGAACCAGUACCGUGAGGGAAAGGUGAAAAGCACCCCGGAAGGGGAGUGAAACAGUUCCUGAAACCGUGUGCCUACAAGUAGUUAGAGCCCGUUAAUGGGUGAUAGCGUGCCUUUUGUAGAAUGAACCGGCGAGUUACGAUUUGUUGCAAGGUUAAGCGGAAAAAGCGGAGCCGUAGCGAAAGCGAGUCUGAAUAGGGCGCAUAAGUAACAGGUCGUAGACCCGAAACCAGGUGAUCUACCCAUGUCCAGGAUGAAGGUAAGGUAAUACUUACUGGAGGUCCGAACCCACGCACGUUGAAAAGUGCGGGGAUGAGGUGUGGGUAGCGGAGAAAUUCCAAUCGAACUUGGAGAUAGCUGGUUCUCUCCGAAAUAGCUUUAGGGCUAGCCUCGAGGUAAAGAGUCAUGGAGGUAGAGCACUGUUUGGACUAGGGGCCCUUCUCGGGUUACCGAAUUCAGAUAAACUCCGAAUGCCAUGUACUUAUACUCGGGAGUCAGACUGCGAGUGAUAAGAUCCGUAGUCGAAAGGGAAACAGCCCAGACCACCAGUUAAGGUCCCCAAAUAUAUGUUAAGUGGAAAAGGAUGUGGGGUUGCUUAGACAACCAGGAUGUUGGCUUAGAAGCAGCCACCAUUGAAAGAGUGCGUAAUAGCUCACUGGUCGAGUGACCCCGCGCCGAAAAUGUACCGGGGCUAAACAUAUUACCGAAACUGUGGAUGAACCUCUUUAGAGGUUCGUGGUAGGAGAGCGUUCUAAGGGCGGUGAAGUCAGACCGGAAGGACUGGUGGAGCGCUUAGAAGUGAGAAUGCCGGUAUGAGUAGCGAAAGAAGGGUGAGAAUCCCUUCCACCGAAUAUCUAAGGUUUCCUGAGGAAGGCUCGUCCGCUCAGGGUUAGUCGGGACCUAAGCCGAGGCCGAUAGGCGUAGGCGAUGGACAACAGGUAGAGAUUCCUGUACCAGUGCUAAUUGUUUAACCGAUGGGGUGACACAGAAGGAUAGGGAAUCGCACGAAUGGAAAUGUGCGUCCAAGCAGUGAGUGUGAGAAGUAGGCAAAUCCGCUUCUCGCGAAGCAUGAGCUGUGAUGGGGAAGGAAAUUAAGUACGGAAGUUCCUGAUUUCACGCUGUCAAGAAAAGCCUCUAGGAAGAGUAGUACUGCCCGUACCGCAAACCGACACAGGUAGAUGAGGAGAGAAUCCUAAGGUGAGCGAGAGAACUCUCGUUAAGGAACUCGGCAAAAUGACCCCGUAACUUCGGGAGAAGGGGUGCUCUAUUAGGGUGCAAGCCCGAGAGAGCCGCAGUGAAUAGGCCCAGGCGACUGUUUAGCAAAAACACAGGUCUCUGCAAAACCGUAAGGUGACGUAUAGGGGCUGACGCCUGCCCGGUGCUGGAAGGUUAAGAGGAGUGCUUAGCUUCGGCGAAGGUACGAAUUGAAGCCCCAGUAAACGGCGGCCGUAACUAUAACGGUCCUAAGGUAGCGAAAUUCCUUGUCGGGUAAGUUCCGACCCGCACGAAAGGCGCAACGAUCUGGGCACUGUCUCAACGAGAGACUCGGUGAAAUUAUAGUACCUGUGAAGAUGCAGGUUACCCGCGACAGGACGGAAAGACCCCGUGGAGCUUUACUGCAACCUGAUAUGGAAUGUUUGUACCGCUUGUACAGGAUAGGUAGGAGCCGAAGAGACGUGUGCGCUAGCAUACGAGGAGGCAAUGGUGGGAUACUACCCUGGCUGUAUGACCAUUCUAACCCGCCACGCUUAGCGCGUGGGGAGACAGUGUCAGGUGGGCAGUUUGACUGGGGCGGUCGCCUCCUAAAGAGUAACGGAGGCGCCCAAAGGUUCCCUC
rnacentral:rRNA from 1 species